UCAGCACACUGAGAUGAAGUAAUAUU
rnacentral:piRNA from 1 species